GACGAACGCUGGCGGCGUGCCUAAUACAUGCAAGUAGAACGCUGAAGGAGGAGCUUGCUCUUCUGGAUGAGUUGCGAACGGGUGAGUAACGCGUAGGUAACCUGCCUGGUAGCGGGGGAUAACUAUUGGAAACGAUAGCUAAUACCGCAUAACAGUAGAUGUUGCAUGACAUUUACUUAAAAGGUGCAAUUGCAUCACUACCAGAUGGACCUGCGUUGUAUUAGCUAGUUGGUGGGGUAACGGCUCACCAAGGCGACGAUACAUAGCCGACCUGAGAGGGUGAUCGGCCACACUGGGACUGAGACACGGCCCAGACUACUACGGGAGGCAGCAGUAGGGAAUCUUCGGCAAUGGACGGAAGUCUGACCGAGCAACGCCGCGUGAGUGAAGAAGGUUGUCGGAUCGUAAAGCUCUGUUGUAAGAGAAGAACGAGUGUGAGAGUGGAAAGUUCACACUGUGACGGUAUCUUACCAGAAAGGGACGGCUAACUACGUG
rnacentral:rRNA from 1 species